rnacentral:Y_RNA from 1 species
GGCUGGUCCGAUUGUAGUGGGUUCAUGCAAUUGCUAUUUCUCAGUCAGUUAACUUAACUCCCUGUUUGUUUCCCCCUUCCCACUCACUACGUAAUUUGACUAGUCUUUU